GCGAGCGGCUACGGCCGCGAAGUGGGUGAUGUCAAGCUUCCAAGAAAAGCCCUAUACCCGUUAAGGCAUGAUGGCCUGUACCCGAAACCGACACAGGUGGGGUGGUAGAGAAUACCGAGGGGCGCGAGGUAACUCUCUCUAAGGAACUCGGCAAAAUGGCCCCGUAACUUCGGGAGAAGGGGUGCCACCGCAAGGUGGUCGCAGUGAAGAGGCCCAGGCGACUGUUUACCAAAAACACAGGUCUCCGCUAAGUCGCAAGACGAUGUAUGGGGGCUGACGCCUGCCCAGUGCCGGAAGGUUAAGGAAGCUGGUCAGCGCAAGCGAAGCUGGCGACUGAAGCCCCGGUGAACGGCGGCCGUAACUAUAACGGUCCUAAGGUAGCGAAAUUCCUUGUCGGGUAAGUUCCGACCCGCACGAAAGGCGUAACGAUCUGGGCGCUGUCUCGGAGAGAGGCUCGGCGAAAUAGAAUUGUCUGUGAAGAUGCGGACUACGUGCACCCGGACAGAAAGACCCUAUGAAGCUUUACUGUAGCUUGGUAUUGUGCCCGGGCUCUGAAUGCGCAGGAUAGGUGGGAGGCUUUGAUCCAUGGCUUGCGGGUCAUGGUGAGCCAACGGUGAGAUACCACUCUUUCAGAGCUAGGGUUCUAACGGUCACCCGUCAUCCGGGGACCGGACAGUAUCAGGUGGGCAGUUUGACUGGGGCGGUCGCCUCCUAAAAGGUAACGGAGGCGCGCAAAGGUUUGCUCAGGCUGGUUGGAAAUCAGCCGACGAGUGCAAAAGCAGAAGCAAGCUUGACUGUGAGACCUACAAGUCGAACAGGGACGAAAGUCGGCUUUAGUGAUCCGACGGUUCUGAGUGGAAGGGCCGUCGCUCAACGGAUAAAAGUUACUCUAAGGAUAACAGGCUGAUCUCCCCCAAGAGUUCACAUCGACGGGGAGGUUUGGCACCUCGAUGUCGGCUCAUCGCAACCUGGGGCUGAAGUCGGACCCAAGGGUUGGGCUGUUCGCCCAUUAAAGCGGUACGCGAGCUGGGUUCAGAACGUCGUGAGACAGUUCGGUCCAUAUCCGGUGCACGCGCAGGAACAUUGAGAGGAUUUCUCCCUAGUACGAGAGGACCGGGAGGAACGCACCUCUGGUGUGCCAGUUAUCGUGCCAACGGUAAACGCUGGGUAGCCAUGUGCGGAGUGGAUAACCGCUGAAAGCAUCUAAGUGGGAAGCCCACCUCAAGAUGAGUGUUCCCAUGGCAUAAGCCAGUAAGGUCACGGGAAGAACACCCGUUGAUAGGCUCUACGUGGAAGCCGGGUAACCGGUGAAGCGGAGGAGUACUAAUAGACCGAGGGCUUGACC
rnacentral:rRNA from 1 species